CCCGGACUCCGACUCGCAGACCCCAGCGCUCGGACGAACCGAGGAACCGCGGCUCCUGUUACCCGCCCCAGGUGGCUGCCCUGGGGAAAGCUCCAAGCAUAUCACCGACUGGCCUGGAAACCCUUUCAUCUCUGCUCCGGCAGCAGCAGCUCUUUGAUUGUCUCCUGGCUUUGGAGCCUCCAUCCAUUACCAGGCUGUAAACUCCUGGGUGCCCACUGGCCCCCAUCUGGGGCACCCCCUUUCCUCCGCCUUCUGUCCUCCUUCUGCUGCCUCCCCAUCCCUCAAGCCUCAGGAACUUGUGGUCGCAAGGAAGUUUAGAUUUUUCCAAGAGUUUUUCCCCUACCUCUGGCUUCUCUGCGCACCCACUCCUACACAUUUUCCUUCAGCUACACCCUCACUGCCACCUGGGCCACACACACAGGCCCCUUCCCUUCCCCUCCGUCACCAGGCCGGUGAGAAGUCGGUUCACCCAAGAGGCAAGAGCACAGCUAGGAUCGGACAGCUGCCCACGCAGCCCAGAGGAGAAGGGCGGCACCCAGCUGCAAGCCCAUGUGCAAAUGGUGCUUUUGACGACCCCGGGCAUCGUAUUUCACGAAUGAGCCAAAUGUAGAAAGGAUUAGCUGUUUCGCCCAAUAAGCCCACAUCUGUAGUUUCAUUCUAACAGGGAUAAAAUUACCCUGGGUAUUAAUCCUUCUGCUCAAGGGGAUAAGCUGAUCACCAGCUGGGGUCGGGAAAAGCCCUGCCCACUUCCACUCCUGCCAGCCUGCCCCUCCCCCUACCCUCACUUGCCCCAUCUCCAGGGACGUACUGCUGUACAUUUGGGUCUGCAAACCAAGCCCAAGGCCGCCACCGGAGGCGGCUCUGAGAUAGGACAGCUCCAGUCUGUUCUGGAGAGGAUGUCCAUUCAGUCACAUCACCAGGCCUGGGGGCCAUACACAAAGAAGCGGCAUCCCCGGGGGGCCGUUUUCCCCAGUCGCUUCAGCCCUGCCAAGUAUGGGCUGCCCAAGUGAGCCAGCAUCCGCGUCGGGACCUCUCAGUGAUGAAAAGAGGUACUACGUGUACUUACACGGAGCUCCCCUGAGCAAGCCAGAAGGUGUUCGCCUAUCCCAGGGGUCAUCGCCAGGGGAAGGGCCAUGACCAGAGGCACCCCUGAGACAGGAUGGUGUCGGGUCCUCCCUGAUGACUUCCCUGUGUCCCCUCUUCUGUGCACCGGGUUCCACCUGCCUCAGUCCUUGCCCCUCUGCUGCUUUGCCCCAUGCACCUGAAGCACCCAUAUUUCCACUCUCCAGCACUGGAUCAGACCAGCCAUCUGGGUUUGGUUUUGGUUGUUCCCACCGAUUUGUUUAUUGGUGCUGCGUCCUGUUGCUGGGAGAUCAUAGAUUGUCAUCAAUAAUGUUCGUUAAGUGAAUAAAUCUGGGUUGACCUCAUCGCACAGUUACGCUUUCUACCCUCGACUGCUGCUCGACUCUGCACUGUUGUUUUGUUGGCUUGUGCAUUUCACAUGGUCGCGUUCCAAACCUUCUGUAGCCUGAAUCUCCAUUUGCCCCCUAAUUCUUGGCAGAGGCUCUAACUUCCCUGAGAACAAAAGACAAAAACAAAACAAACUUGAGAUGUGAAACUGUCAGACUUUCUGAACACCCCUCCACCUCCGAACUGCAUGGAUCCACGGAGACCCCUCUUCAGUGAAGACUGCCCCUCCUCCCUCUCCAUCUGCAUGGUCCCCACAGGGGCCCUGUACUUACCUACGGCCUCCCACAGCCUCACCACAAUCUGUUGACCCUGGUUGGGCUCCAAUAGACUCAAGACGGACCAGUGAGAAACCUUCCAUAGAACUUUGGCUUUGGGGCCAAGAGGGUCAGACCAAUUUCUCUCUUGUAGCUACAGCUGUAGACUGAAGGAGCCAGGGACCAGCAGGGACUGAGGGAAGAAUAAGGCAGAUGUGGAGAGGACCCGAGAGCAAUGUAGAGAGAGUCUGGAACAUUCUGGAACAUUCUGGAAGAUCCUGAGGCCCAACCAUGCUCUUUUUUUUUAACAUUAUAUUCAAUAAUUUAAAUUGUUUUCACUUACAAUCAAAGGCACCUUAUGUAAUGUGUUAGAAUACCAAUAUUUGCUUGCUUCUCAGAGGGAAAAGUAAGUUUCCCUCCUCCUGGCUCUGGCCAAUUCCUCCUCAGUUCAAUCCCCACCCUGGCCAUCCUGGUUUUAUUACCUGCCCUACUUCACUUGAAUCUUCAGUCAUUUCAGUUACAAAUUUGCCCAUCUCCCUAGCCAAAAACUAAACAAACAAAGGUUUUUUCAUCUCUGUCCCUCCUCAAGCUUCUGCCCCUCCCCUCCUCGAGCCACCUUCAUUUCCUCCCCUCCCCUUUCCUACCCCAUGGACUGUGAGGUCGGGCUCCCUCUCCCCUCCCCUCUUUCCCCGAGAACACAGCAGACUGGGUCUCCUUGCCAGCCUCCAUGAGGCUGUCUGCAGCAUCUGAUGUCAGCCACCACCUUGCCUGGAAACUUGCACUUCUCUUGAUGGUUUUCCUCCUGGUUCUUCUUGUUCUAACACAGAGACGCUUGACCUGCAGAAGUCGUACCAGAAUCGAAAGAUACUAAGAACCCAGAGGUAGACUUUUCUGACCCACCUUUCACCCCAUAAAAAUAAAGCUGGCCUGUGCCCAGAGCUCUCCUGGGGCACUGUCAGAGCGAGAGCUGACUCAUCUAGCGAAAUGUUGAAAUUAAGGUGGUAAUGGUUGACCGGCCCAUUGGCACCAAGUGAUCACCAACUUUUAGUGCAACGUUUCCCAAGUGAAAUGUACUUUUCAGCAUUUCAGAGAAUUCCUGCUGCUGACGUGAGUCUCUUUCUUCCUCACAUUGGGAAGUGCCGACCCAAGGAAUGAGCAUCUUUGAGAUGUGAGUGCUGUGUCUCUUCCUAGCAGUGUCAGACAGAAAUGAAGACCUCAGUCCCGCCCUCAGUCUCAUAGGCUCAUUAUGAAAACAUCACAGGAGCACUUGAAAAAUUAAUUAUAAGCACGAAGCAAGAGUGUGAGAUAUGUCACAAAGUGGUAUGUUAUGAAGUGAUGCAGACAACGCUUUCCACGGGGAAUCUGAGGCAGGAAGGCUGUCCCAGUGUGGGAAUAAUAAAUGCAGAUUUCCUCGGCUCGGGGACGGUCUGGUGGUGCUGCUGGCCUGGGAGUGGAGCUGGAGCCUUGGAUGAAGAGUAAGAAUUGUGGAUCCAGAGAAGAAAGAGAGAGAGAGAUGCUUGAUGGGGAGGAAGUCCAAGAGCCUGCAAAGUCCUGAGCCGGGGGUCGGGAUGAGACCGGACUGAAUGGAGGGUUCUGGUGGGGACACAGUGGAAAACACUUGGCUACCUGCUCUCCAACUGAGCAUGUUUCCGGACCAUCAGCGCAGCAAGGACACCAACGAUUUUUGUUUAAGAAUUUAUUAUUUGAUAUUUUUUUUAAAACAGCAUCAAAAGACAUUAUGGGAAACGUCAGAAGAUAGUUGGACAAUGUUAAAUAUUCACGUCUGUGGGGGGUGGAGGCGGACACCACAAGCAUGCCAGUGCGCAGGUCCUCCAAAGGUCUAAUGCAGCCUCUCAGGAGAAGAUUAAGUUGGGGCCAGUUGGGGGAGACUUGAAUGUCAAGUGGGGCAGGCAGGCUCUGCACGUCUUGCUGUGCAGAGGGUCCAAGGGCCAUGACAGCCUGAAAUUCUCAGGGACCCUGCGUUACUUGCCGAGUCUAACCCGGGGUCUCAGGUCCUCUGCGGCGCGGGGCACGCGCACCAGGACGCGCACGUGACAGGGUCCUUUAUUGCUGGGAUCGUGCUGCUUCCUUUCAUUGCCGCUGUCGGAAGACAUCAUGUCCGCUCACACGCAGACUUUCUUGCAGAAUAUUCCCCCAAACCACCAAGGAUGUUUAUUGCUUUUAUUAACUUGACAGUCUGGAGACCGUGUGUAUACAACUUUCUUCUCUUUCCUCCUGGAUAGUGGGACCCUACCUUGCUGUUGUCACCUAUACCCACACGGUGCCUGGGACAGCGAAGAUCUGGUAACAUGAUGCCGUGAGUCGCAGCUACUGUGAAAUGAGUGAGGGAAUGAAUAAUGAACCAUUAAGGAGGAUUCGUGCUCAGAGAAGGUAUCCCCAAGUUGUCAGUCAACCUGGAUGACUGCUAGGUCUCUUCCAGCACUAAGAACUCUCCUUAGACUGGGGAGGGGUCGGGGGAGGACGUUCAAGUCUCUGACAGGUCUCGAAAGAGUUCCACCUUCUCCCCUUUCCCUGGAGCUCUCUUAAAAAGAUCCUGUUUCUCCAAGCCUCAAGGAAGAAGGUUCUUUCCGAUGGCUGACUCAGCUCCCUCCAGCUGCAGUUUCAAGUGAGUCCAUCUAUUGGGUUCUUCAGGGAAAACAGCUCUUUUUGGGUCAGGGUGAAACUGUGGCUAAGGCCGGUCUAGGAGUAAAGUCCACAGAGGGACCUGGUGGGGCAGAGAGGGAUGGCGCUUACAGAAACACUGUCAAGGUGAAGAGGGUCUGCAGGAGGCACAGAGCACCCCAGGGAGUCACUCAGAAAGAGACCCCCCGGGGCCCUGCUCCAAGGGGGGCUGCUCCAGUUAUCUGCUCAUCUGAUGACUGGGCCCUGCACACGGCCCACGGAAGAUGAGGGCAAAGCAGCCACAGGUGAGCCACUCCCGCCACCACUGGAUGGGGGGCGUUUAGCGCCUGUGAGAGCAGCAGAAGCAGAGAGGGGAACCGGAAGUCAUCGCACCCACGUGAGGGAAAAAGGGACAAGUAUCAUGCUGAGACCCAUCUUUUUUAGGCUGAUUUGCACAAAGGCGGUGACAGAGAAAAGGAGUGGAUGGUGGGGUUUGGUCCUGGGAAGGGCCCAGCCUGACAUGUGGCCGGGGGCAGGAGCCUUAAAGGGAACCCCAAACCAGAGAAGGUGGAGCUCAGAGGCAAAAGGAGGGAGAGGCCAUAGAUUGGAGUGAAGAGAGGAGAAAUUGUGCAAGCAGCCCCCUGAAGUCUUCAAGAGGAUGAGGAAGCAGUGUGCCAGUCCCUGGGUGGACCCUCAGUCCUGCUCUGCCUCUGAAUUACUGUGUGCGUGUGUGUUUAAAUAAAGAGAGUGAUUUUCCUGCA